CCUGUUCCCAUUCCGAACACAGAAGUUAAGCUCUCUAGCGCUGAUGGUACUUGGUGGGAAACUGCCUGGGAGAGUAGGACAUAGCCAGGUG
rnacentral:rRNA from 1 species